UGACCCAACGUCCCGCGGCUGCCUUGGGACAGGGGGAAAUGGGGGCUGCAGGUGCCUGGGGACACACAGCCCCACAGGAGCACCCGCUGGGGCAGGGACCACGGGCGCAGCAAGGGACACGUGUCCUCCCUUGUGCAACAGAGCGAUCGAUACCGCCGGGGGGGUUGAAUGAGGGUUUAAAAACCUUCUAAGCUUGUCUUUAUUCUUCACGUCUUCUGAGGGAAGGGACGGCUGCUGGUCCUUCAGCCGCUUGCUAUGAGGGGCCGGUGACUUUUGUGCCGCCUGUGAGGUCCAGUGUUCAGCAGGUAAUUGAAAAGCUGAUGAGAGGAGCUGUCACUCCCCGUCAGCUCCGCUCGCCUGGCUGCUGAAUCGCAAUUCAUUUCCAGGCGGUAGCGUGCUGUUUAUGUUUCUGUCAUCUGAUACCUGAACGUCUGGAUCAGACUCUUUAUUUUCGCCUUGCCCUUUGUACCGCUCGGUGUAUUUGCAGUCUCCGUGUCUCUUUGCUGCUUUGAUGCCACCGUGCGUGCAGCUCGUGCCGCCCGCGCCGGGGCCCGGAGCAGAGGGAGAGCGGCUCCGAGAGCUGCUGGGAUGAAAGAGCAGAGAGCAGCUGGGGCAGAGCUCUGGCAGGAGCAUUCAGAGCGGUUUUGUACAUCGGUUGAUGGCUGUGACGCUGCUUUGCAGACUCUGUGAUGUAUUAGCCUGGCCUCCUCUCAGACAAGAAGAAAAAUGGGCAUGUUUGCCAAGCAGCUCUUGGCAGAGCCGCCAGACGCAGCCCUGCCAAGCUCCUCCUCGCGCUGCCAUGACGAGCGGAGGCAUCGCCGAGCGGGGACGGGGAGGGCGGACGGACAGACAGGACCAGCUGCCUGGGCCCACCCUUCGCUCCCUGCCCCGCUGUGAAGCUGCCCAUGGGACCACAGGGGGAGGGGGAAAAAAUCAAUCUCUGCAUUAUACGCUUCCUUUCCCAGUGCACUGGUUUCAAUCUAACAAAAAGGUUUCUAGUAAUGCUGUCCCCUAUUCAGCAUAGUAUAAACCAUAGCCUUACGUGUAAAUAAACAUGAGACUCAUCCUAUCACAUAUGCAUGUUUUAGUGAGUGAAAAGCCCGAGUUACAUACAGCAUGAAACGGUCUUUAAAUGCAACAAACAGACUAAAAUCCUGAUCAGUAAAC